AACGAACGCUGGCGGCAUGCCUAACACAUGCAAGUCGAACGAGAAAGCUCUUCGGAGUGAGUAGAGUGGCGCACGGGUGAGUAACACGUAGGUGACCUACCUUUCAGCGGGGGAUAACCAGAAGAAAUUCUGGCUAAUACCGCGUACGAACAAAGAACUUGGAUAUAUUUGUUGAAAGAAUGCCUCUGCAUAUGCAUUCGCUGAAAGAUGGGCCUGCGGGACACUAGCUUGAUGGUGGGGUAACGGCUUACCAUGGCGACGAUGUCUAGCGGAUUUGAGAGAAUGAUCCGUCACACUGGAACUGAGACACGGUCCAG
rnacentral:rRNA from 1 species